CUCCCACAGAGGCCCGCAAAAGGCCUCAAGUACAAACACUGCCUGUGGCGGUUUGAUGGAUCGGAGCUGGCGAGGGGCGCGCGGUGUUCAUGACACGCUGACGAUGCGGCGCGAGACAACAACCGCGGGGGUCACGUGACCACACCGGGAUCCGCAGGGGGUCGUGGCCCGGAACACGGUUUGGAACGGAGGGAGCCGAAGGCGAGAUACCAGCGAUGCUUCCGGAUUCUAUCGGUCGACGAGAGCGGGACACCGAACCACGGACAUUUCCUUCUUACCGGAGACGUUGACCGGUAGGGGGACACGCGAUGGGGCGGCCCCUCCUCUGAUUGUGUGUGUGUUUUAUUUAGUAAUUGAAUUGUCGUGCUGAAGGUUUACUAUGAAUUACUGUGUUAUUUAAGGUGCUAUAGAGUUCCAUGCGCACCAUGAAUUGUGCACUUUGGGUUGCUGUGUUGUUGGAGUGGUUCUACAUGUUUGAGGGUCCGGGCCAAACCAAUAAUAUGUCCCCUACCUAGAGGUCAAUGCUUCCCUUAUAAAAUAUUACCAUAGUAAAAGUAUUUAUCAAAUCCUUCA